rnacentral:lncRNA from 1 species
AUGGCAGCCUCCUCCCUUCAAAACAGGACAGACCAGACACACCGUGGCUGCGGCCCGGCCACGGGGAGGAGGGCGCCAGGGAGGUGCCCGGGCAGGGAGUGCGGCGGGAGCGCUAGGCCUGGGGCCACCCCGCCGCCCACGUGGGGAAGCCGCCACCCAGGACAGUCAGCGAGGGGGCCAGGAGCCCAAGCAGGGCGGAGCACCAGCUCCCACCCGCAGUGGACCAAAGGGCGAAGCGGGGCAGAGCAGGUGGGGAGAGAGAAGGCAGCCCGCUGCGUGCGGGCUGGGAGGGAACCGCCGGCCGCCCCUCCCCGAAAUAAAUGCGGCCCCGCAGGUGCCGGCUCUGCGGGAGCACAGGCCGGAGGGCAUGGGUCCCAGAGCGUGCGGACACCUGGGGAAGCAUCCACAGGUCACAGCACCCACAGGGCUUCAGGGCGGUCACGCCUACGCCCUGAAGGGCGAAGAGCCCCCCCCCCAAGUUUGGGUCCCCGAUGCAAGGGCAGAUGCGCGAUGGGGGCUCCUCGUAAGCCGGGAGACAAGGCACCGAUCGCUGCGUCGGCGGCAGCUGGGGCCGUGUCUGCGGGAGACGGAUGGCAGGGUCGGGGUAGGGGGAGCCCGGGGGCACAGGGCCUCCCGGGCCGGGGGUGGGGGGCUUUCCCGGGGCCGGCGGCACAUCGGGCCGGCGCCCCGGACUUGGGAUUUGGGCUCCGCCUGCCCGAACCCUCGGGCCGCCCCGCGAAGUGUGGAGACGUCCCCGGUCCCGGGGUGAAGGCCGCGAGAGAGCCCCGGCCGAGCCGCCCGGCGAACGUAAAGCGAAGCCGCACUCGGAACCCCACAGCAGCUAGCGCCGCGCAGCCGCAGAGAAGGCGGGGCGCGCAGGCCCCGCCCCCUAUGCUAAUACAGACGGCCUGCGCCCCGCCCCCGCCCGGGAGCCGGACGGGCCCAACGCCGCGGGGGGUGAACGGCUCUCAGCGUCCGGCCCCGCGCUCGCGGGGGCCGAGGUGGGGCGGGACGCCCGGGUCUUGGCCGGUCGGGCGGCGGCACCGUGCGGGAGCGGUCAGAGGACCGCUAGGGCGACCGCGGGAGGGGCGCCCCCCCGCCGCCACGCAUGGUACGGCCCUCAGGGGCGGGGCCCGGAUCAUGUGA